CGCGAUUCGCCCUUCGGGGUGCCCAGGCGCGAAAACUUUACAAUGCUGGCAACAGCGAUAAGGGGACCUCGAGUGCCAGGUUACAAAUCUGGCUGUCGUGAUGCCUAAAAAGCAUUGCAUAGCAAGGGCCGGGCAAGACCGGUGCCAGCCGCCGCGGUAACACCGGCGGCUCGAGUGGUAACCGUUAUUAUUGGGUCUAAAGGGUCUGUAGCCGGCCGGAUAAGUCUCUUGGGAAAUCCAGCAGCUCAACUGUUGGGCUUUCAGGAGAUACUGUCUGGCUCGAGGCCGGGAGAGGUGAGAGGUACUUCAGGGGUAGGGGUGAAAUCUUGUAAUCCUUGAAGGACCACCAGUGGCGAAGGCGUCUCACCAGAACGGACCUGACGGCAAGGGACGAAAGCUAGGGGCACGAACCGGAUUAGAUACCCGGGUAGUCCUAGCCGUAAACGAUACUCGCUAGGUGUCGGCCACGGUGCGACCGUUGUCGGUGCCGUAGGGAAGCCGUGAAGCGAGCCACCUGGGAAGUACGGCCGCAAGGCUGAAACUUAAAGGAAUUGGCGGGGGAGCAC
rnacentral:rRNA from 1 species